UGGCUCGGGCCUUUAUCACACGGCCGCCGACCCUGCCGGCUUUAAACGUACGUUGAAGAACUCGUCGCUACCCCUUUUUUCCCUUAUUUAAGUUUUACACAAGACAGUAAUGUGGGAACUCGAAAAUAGUCCUUGAUACUGCCCCUUUAACUAAUAGAUUGAGUUUGUUUACGUCAGUGGUUGUUGUGAUCUUCCGCCAAGUGUAUCAUAAAUAUAUAUCCUCUUCUAUUUCGUAAGAUUUGUUUGUAUAACCCCCACAUCAACAUGUAACUUUACCCUUAAAAUGGCUUAAUUGUUGUUUAGGUAUCAACUUUAUUAAGGUGCUUAAAGGUAGCAUUCAGUUGCGUAUUUAUUAUUACUUUAAUAAUUAUUAAGGGGGUUAAAGGUAGCAUUCACUUGCGUAUGUAUUAUUACUUUAAUCAUUAUUCUUGCAAGGUAUUUGUUGGGGGCGGGGGCAGGCAGGGACAAAGCAUUAACGAGGGGCCAAGCAUUAAGGAGGGGCCAUUUGACCAAGAGAAGCUGUUUGCAAGAAGUUUGAGUAGGCCUUCAUAUCCUAUUCAUAGUAUUAGUUGCUGCUUUUUCAGACAUUAUUUGUAGUUCGGAGAUUAUGCAAUAAAGAUGUUUUGAUUGCAAACAACUUCCAAAUUA